AAAUGACGUAAGAAAUUUGACAUGCUCAAAAAUCCUGCAGAAAUGCAAAAUUGACUGGCCUGAUGAACUCGGGAUGGCCGGGCAGUGAUAGUUGUUCCUUUCCAUCACUCGUUGUGUUGACUUCAUCAUGUCCAUUUUGUGAUGUUUUUCACUAUAUAAUCAUAUUGCAAGUGCACGUGCAUUUGCAAUAUGUUUCAAUGUGCAUUUACCAUAUGAAAUUUGACCUUGCUCAAAAAUGCAAAAUUGACUGGUCUGAUGAACACAGGAUGGCCGAGCAGUGAUAGUUGUACAUUUCCAUCACUCGUUGUGUUGAUUUCAUCAUCUCCGUUAGGUGAUGUUUUUACACUAUAGAAUCAUAUUGCAAAUGCACGUGCAUUGUUGUGCAACUGGUAACCCAAAAAUAAAAAUAUGGUUGUAAAUGCAUUUACCGGUCAUUCUGAUAUUAAUGCUCGCUAUGGGAACACAGGAUGGCCGGGCAGUGAUAGUUGUACAUUUCCAUCACUCGUUGUGUUGAUUUCAUCAUGUCCAUUAGGUGAUGUUUUUACACUAUAGAAUCAUAUUGCAAAUGCACGUGCAUUGUUGUGCAACUGGUAACCCAAAAAUAAAAAUAUGGUUGUAAAUGCAUUUACCGGUCAUUCUGAUAUUAAUGCUCGCUAUGGGAACACAGGAUGGCCGGGCAGUGAUAGUUGUACAUUUCCAUCACUCGUUGUGUUGAUUUCAUCAUGUCCAUUAGGUGAUGUUUUUACACUAUAGAAUCAUAUUGCAAAUGCACGUGCAUUGUUGUGCAACUGGUAACCCAAAAAUAAAAAUAUGGUUGUAAAUGCAUUUACCGGUCAUUCUGAUAUUAAUGCUCGCUAUGGGAACACAGGAUGGCCGGGCAGUGAUAGUUGUACAUUUCCAUCACUCGUUGUGUUGAUUUCAUCAUGUCCAUUAGGUGAUGUUUUUACACUAUAGAAUCAUAUUGCAAGUGCGCGCGCAUUUGCAAUAUGUUUCAAUGUGCAUUUACCAUAUGAAAUUUGACAUGCUCAAAAAUGCAAAAUUGACUGGUCUGAUGGACACAGGAUGGCCGAGCAGUGAUAGUUGUACAUUUCCAUCACUCGUUGUGUUGAUUUCAUCAUGUCCAUUAGGUGAUGUUUUUUCACUAUAGAAUCAUAUUGCAAGUGCGCGCGCAUUUGCAAUAUGUUUCAAUGUGCAUUUACCAUAUGAAAUUUGACAUGCUCAAAAAUGCAAAAUUGACUGGUCUGAUGAACACAGGAUGGCUGAGCAGUGAUAGUUGUACAUUUCCAUCACUUGUUGUGUUGAUUUCAUCAUG